UGGCGACCGGCGCACGGGUGAGUAACACGUAUCCAACCUGCCGAUGACUCGGGGAUAGCCUUUCGAAAGAAAGAUUAAUACCCGAUGGCAUAGUUCUUCCGCAUGGUAGAACUAUUAAAGAAUUUCGGUCAUCGAUGGAGAUGCGUUCCAUUAGCUUGUUGGCGGGGUAACGGCCCACCAAGGCAUCGAUGGAUAGGGGUUCUGAGAGGAAGGUCCCCCACAUUGGAACUGAGACACGGUCCAAACUCCUACGGAAGGCAGCAG
rnacentral:rRNA from 1 species